GAAAUCGAGUAGGGCGGGACACGUGAUAUCCUGUCUGAAUAUGGGGGGACCAUCCUCCAAGGCUAAAUACUCCUGACUGACCGAUAGUGAACCAGUACCGUGAGGGAAAGGCGAAAAGAACCCCUGUGAGGGGAGUGAAAUAGAACCUGAAACCGUGUACGUACAAGCAGUAGGAGCACCUUCGUGGUGUGACUGCGUACCUUUUGUAUAAUGGGUCAGCGACUUAUAUUCAGUGGCAAGGUUAACCGUAUAGGGGAGCCGUAGCGAAAGCGAGUCUUAACUGGGCGCUCAGUCUCUGGAUAUAGACCCGAAACCGGGUGAUCUAGCCAUGGGCAGGUUGAAGGUUGAGUAACAUCAACUGGAGGACCGAACCGACUAAUGUUGAAAAAUUAGCGGAUGACUUGUGGCUAGGGGUGAAAGGCCAAUCAAACUCGGAGAUAGCUGGUUCUCCCCGAAAGCUAUUUAGGUAGCGCCUCGGACGAAUACUACUGGGGGUAGAGCACUGUUAAGGCUAGGGGGUCAUCCCGACUUACCAACCCUUUGCAAACUCCGAAUACCAGUAAGUACUAUCCGGGAGACACACGGCGGGUGCUAACGUCCGUCGUGGAGAGGGAAACAACCCAGACCGCCAGCUAAGGUCCCAAAGUAUUGCUAAGUGGGAAACGAUGUGGGAAGGCUCAGACAGCUAGGAUGUUGGCUUAGAAGCAGCCAUCAUUUAAAGAAAGCGUAAUAGCUCACUAGUCGAGUCGGCCUGCGCGGAAGAUGUAACGGGGCUAAGCA
rnacentral:rRNA from 1 species